rnacentral:rRNA from 1 species
AGAGUUUGAUCAUGGCUCAGAUUGAACGCUGGCGGAAUGCUUUACACAUGCAAGUCGAACGGCAGCACGGGGGCAACCCUGGUGGCGAGUGGCGAACGGGUGAGUAAUGUAUCGGAACGUACCCAGUCGUGGGGGAUAACUAUCCGAAAGGAUAGCUAAUACCGCAUACGUCCUGAGGGAGAAAGCGGGGGAUCGCAAGACCUCGCGCGAUUGGAGCGGCCGAUAUCGGAUUAGCUAGUUGGUGAGGUAAAGGCUCACCAAGGCGACGAUCCGUAGCGGGUCUGAGAGGACGACCCGCCACACUGGAACUGAGACACGGUCCAGACUCCUACGGGAGGCAGCAGUGGGGAAUUUUGGACAAUGGGCGCAAGCCUGAUCCAGCCAUUCCGCGUGAGUGAAGAAGGCCUUCGGGUUGUAAAGCUCUUUCAGCGGGGACGAAACGGUCGGCUCUAAUAAAGUUGGCUAAUGACGGUACCUGCAGAAGAAGCACCGGCUAACUACGUGCCAGCAGCCGCGGUAAUACGUAGGGUGCGAGCGUUAAUCGGAAUUACUGGGCGUAAAGCGUGCGCAGGCGGUUCUAUAAGACAGAUGUGAAAUCCCCGGGCUUAACCUGGGAACUGCGUUUGUGACUGUAGGACUUGAGUGUAGCAGAGGGGGGUGGAAUUCCACGUGUAGCAGUGAAAUGCGUAGAGAUGUGGAGGAACACCGAUGGCGAAGGCAGCCCCCUGGGUUAACGCUGACGCUCAUGCACGAAAGCGUGGGGAGCAAACAGGAUUAGAUACCCCGGUAGUCCAA